rnacentral:rRNA from 1 species
GAUGAACGCUGGCGGCGUGCCUAAUACAUGCCAGUCGAACGAAACUUCUUUAUCACCGAGUGCUUGCACUCACCGAUAAAGAGUUGAGUGGCGAACGGGUGAGUAACACGUGGGCAACCUGCCCAAAAGAGGGGGAUAACACUUGGGAACAGGUGCUAAUACCGCAUAACCAUAGUUACCGCAUGGUAACUAUGUAAAAGGUGGCUAUACUACCGCUUUUGGAUGGGCCCGCGGCGCAUUAGCUAGUUGGUAGGGUAAAGGCUUACCAAGGCAAUGAUGCGUAGCCGAAUUGAGAGGUUGAUCGGCCACAUUGGGACUGAGACACGGCCCAAACUCCUACGGGAGGCAGCAGUAGGGAAUCUUCCACAAUGGGCGAAAGCCUGAUGGAGCAACGCCGCGUGGGUGAAGAAGGUCUUCGGAUCGUAAAACCCUGUUGUUAGAGAAGAAAGUGCGUGAGAGUAACUGUUCACGUUUCGACGGUAUCUAACCAGAAAGCCACGGCUAACUACGUG